ACCGGCAGCUCAAGUGGUGGCCAUUAUUAUUGGGCCUAAAGCGUUCGUAGCCGGUUUGAUAAGUCUCUGGUGAAAUCCCGCAGCUUAACUGUGGGACUUGCUGGAGAUACUAUCAGACUUGAGGUCGGGAGAGGUUAGGGGUACUCCCAGGGUAGGGGUGAAAUCGUAUAAUCCUGGGAGGACGACCUGUGGCGAAGGCGCCUAACUGGAACGAGCCUAACGGUGAGUAGCGAAAGCCAGGGGCGCGGACCG
rnacentral:rRNA from 1 species